GGACAAAUGACCGAGCGGUUAAGGUGUUGCAUUCAAGCUUAAAAGCUUUUUCUGUCUAGGAUCGCAAUCCGAAAGGGCCUGGGUUCGAUUCCCAGUUUGUUCA